rnacentral:lncRNA from 1 species
CUGCUGGUAUUGGCGCAGGCGUUUGUCGGCGUCUGAUUUUUUAGAGGUGGCAUCCACGAGGGAGAUGGUGAGCUGGUCCACCUGGCCCUCCAAAUUCUCAUUGUCUCGCUCCAGCCUCGCUACCGCGCUUGAGUCGCCCUCCAGCAACCCCGCCAGAUGCUCCUUCAUCUGCACACCGGCACGACUCAAAUUUACAUUGAAAUUCAGAUUAAAUUCACAUUUUAGUUCAGAGGGGCUACAAAGCACUAUUGAAAGUGCUGGUUCUUAAUUUGGCAUUGCUCGGCCUCUGACACUGCCAAGAAGAUCAUUAAAGAUGGCAACAAUUGUUUGGCACUGUGCCUCUUACAAUGAUUGAAAGGCAGUGCUGGGAUAUUUACCUUGACAGCUUCCGUCAGCUCGGUGACCUUGACCAGGAGCUGGUCUUCCAGCUCACUGCACUGCCUUCUGA